CCCUGGUUAAUCCUCAGUAACACACACACAUAGGAGAGGUGGGGAGGGAGAGGGAAUGCAGUUUUGCUCCCACAAUGAUGCAGAUGUUGAAAUUAGCAGACAAGUGUUCUAAAACAGCCAUCGUAGAUGUGCUCCGGGGCAUAUAGGAAACUUUCAUCACAACAAGUGAAAAUAGAGGAAACCUCAGUAGAGGAAUAGAAAGUGUAAGAAAAAUCCUAGAACUGAAAAAUACCAUAUCUGAAACUAAGAAUGUAGCACUUGGAUUACAUAACAGAAUGGAAAUGACAGAAAAAAAGAGUCCGUGAACUUGGAGAUAAAUCAGUACAGACUAUUCAACCUGACAACAGAAAAAAGGAAAAGAUAUUCAGGGACUUGUGGACAUUAUUGGAAGAUCUGUUUAAUAUAUAAGUAAUUGGAGUUCCAGAAGCUAAGAGAGAAUGGGGAAGAAAAAGUAUUUUUAAUAAAUAACAUCAAAAAAGCUCUCAAAUUUUGUAAUAAACACACACACACACACACACAGACACACAGAUGUAAAAAAACACCAUGCAAACAUCAAACAGUAUAAAUGUAAAGAAAAGCACACCCAGGCACAUCAUAGCCAGACCUCUGGAAAUAGAAGAUGAAGAGAAAAUCUUGAAAUCAGAGAAAAAUGGAUGUCAUAUGGAGGAAAAUAACAUGAACAUCACCGACGUCUCAUCAGAAAUUAUGAGGUCUAGAGGCGAUGGAACGGUACCCUGAUGUGCUGAUUGAGCACAAAAACAUGUCAAGCUGUGAUUCUAUCUCCUCCCGAGAACACAAAUGAAAUGCAGACGUUGUGGAUAAAUGAAAAUGAAUGAGAAUUCAUUGCCAGUAGAGUUGUAUCACAGAAAGGCUGAAGGACGUUCUUCAAGGGAAGGAACAAGAUGCCAGAUAAGAGCUCAGACCUUCAACCAGGAAUGAAGAGCACUGGAAAUGGUUCCUCGGGCUGACCUGACCGUGGGAUCAAUGCCCUGAAGGAUCACAGAGGUUACUACUAUGCUUGCAGUUAUGCUCCAACGCAAACAUCUAAAAAGAGCCAGGACUUCCUUGAGCUGGUAAGAGGCAUUGAGGUGAGCGGCACUGGUGGGCACACGUCAUUGGCGCGGCUGGAGAGAGAGCCAGCGAAUCAGGAGAGCAGAAGGCAUACAGUUCCCCAGA